CAGAAUGUAGUUUAAAUAGAAUUCUAGCUUUGGGAGCUAGAGGUAGGCGUUUGAGUCGCUUUUUUCUGA
rnacentral:tRNA from 1 species